UACAGAGGUCCCAAGCGUUGUUCGGAUUCACUGGGCGUAAAGGGUGCGUAGGCGGUCGGGUAAGUCUGAUGUGAAAUCUCACAGCUUAACUGUGAAACUGCAUUGGAUACUAUCCGGCUAGAGGAAUGGAGGGGAGACUGGAAUACUUGGUGUAGCAGUGAAAUGCGUAGAGAUCGGGAGGAACACCUGCGGCGAAAGCGGCUCACUGGACCAUAACUGACGCUGAUGCACGAAAGCUAGGGGAGCAAACAGG
rnacentral:rRNA from 1 species